rnacentral:lncRNA from 1 species
GCCCUGGAUCUGGGACUGGGUGGUAGUUAAGGUGAUCAGCAUGAUGGCUCUCCUUUAUGUCCCACCACCAGGACAUCCUUCCAGCACUGCACUAGCUAGGCCACUCAAUGACACCAUCAGCAGGAGGCAGGGUACUGAGGGAGGAGGGCAUUACCCUCAUCCUGACACCACCUCAGGACAGAGGAGUGAUGGUGCCAAUUCUCCCCUACUCCCAUCCUGGGGUCCUGCUCCUCAUCUGUGCCCCUCCCCCAGGGCAUAAAACAGCUUUGCCACCAAGCCAGGCAUCAAGCUAGGAUGAACAAAGAGUUGCCAUCUACUCUGCACCUGACUGAUAUAAGAGCAACACCACCAACAAGAUAGAAGCUCCUAGAACUCCCAGACCCCCCCAAGGACUGCACCACAGUUCUGACUGCUCAAUCUCAUGCCCUUGACCUCUUUCUCAUCCCACAUAAAUGCGCAAGCACUUCAAUAUCCCUUUAUAAUAAGGACUUGCUCAGUCUGUUAUGAA